rnacentral:rRNA from 1 species
UACGAAGGGGGCUAGCGUUGUUCGGAAUCACUGGGCGUAAAGCGCACGCAGGCGGAUCGUUAAGUCGGGGGUGAAAUCCCGAGGCUCAACCUCGGAACUGCCUUCGAUACUGGCGAUCUUUGAGUCCGGGAGAGGUGAGUGGAACUCCGAGUGUAGAGGUGAAAUUCGUAGAUAUUCGGAAGAACACCGGUGGCGAAGGCGGGUCUCUGGGCCGAUACUGACGCUGAGGAGCGAAAGCAUGGGUAGCGAACAGG